rnacentral:rRNA from 1 species
UGAAUCCGGAUAUCGAUGGCCACUAGAGUGUUGACAUUGGAACACACGACGAGAUGGUGGAUCGAGGAGGCCGGCAGAGAGAUGGAUCCUGGCAAAAUUCGCCCUUAGAGUUUGAUCAUGGGUCAAAUUGAGCGUUGGGGGCAGGCCUAACACAUGCAAGUCGAGCGGAUGACGGGAGCUUGCUCCUGGAUUCAGCGGCGGACGGGUGAGUAAUGCCUAGGAAUCUGCCUGGUAGUGGGGGAUAACGUUCGGAAACGGACGCUAAUACCGCAUACGUCCUACGGGAGAAAGCAGGGGACCUUCGGGCCUUGCGCUAUCAGAUGGGCCUAGGUCGGAUUAGCUAGUUGGUGAGGUAAUGGCUCACCAAGGCGACGAUCCGUAACUGGUCUGAGAGGAUGAUCAGUCACACUGGAACUGAGACACGGUCCAGACUCCUACGGGAGGCAGC